UCAACAAUGAUCCAAUGAUCAUUUGUCAAAAGGUUUGAAUCAAAGAAGAUUGAAUUAACCUCAAGUCCAUAUAUGGAUGACUUGAAAUGUAUAAGCAUUGAUCAACCAAGUCAACAACUCAAGUCAAAACAACAGGUGCAUCAAAAAUCAAACAAAAAUGCAUUUAAAAAUGAUUUAAAAAGGUAAUUAAAGAGAAAAUCUCAAACUAUGAUCAAAAUAGUUUUAAAAAUGAUUGAAAAAAUUAUACAAAGUCCCAAAUAUUACACACAAAUGGAUCUCAAAUAUUGGAUGCAAAAAGGUUUUGAAAUGCUUGAAAAAUAAAAUGGAAAAGGAAAUAAAAAAAUGACUUAAAAAAUAAUAAUAAAUGCAAAAAUGGUUUAAAAAAUUAAGAGAAAAUGGUAUGUGAUGCAAAAUAUUUGUAAAGACUUUGUGUAAAAACAUUGGAUCAAAAUGAAUUAAAUGAGUGAGAAAUUAAAUGAAAAGAAAAGGACUAAAGUAAAAGAAGAAAUAGGGCGCCAACGGCUACCAAGUUUUA
rnacentral:lncRNA from 1 species